rnacentral:misc_RNA from 1 species
GGACUACUCGGGUAUCUAAUCCCUUUCGCUCCCCUGGCCUUCGUGCCUCAGCGUCAGUUAAUGUCCAGGAACCCGCCUUCGCCACGAGUGUUCCUCUCGAUAUCUACGCAUUUCACUGCUACACCGAGAAUUCCGGUUCCCCCUCCAUUACUCUAGUCUCGCAGUAUCAUGUGCCGUCCGCGGGUUGAGCCCGCGCCUUUCACACACGACUUACGAAACAGCCUACGCACGCUUUACGCCCAGUGAUUCCGAACAACGCUUGAGACCUCUGUAUUACCGCGGCUGCUGGCACAGAGUUAGCCGUCUCUUCCUCUUGUGGUACUAUCUUUUUAAUUUGCUCCCACAUGACAGGGGUUUACAAUCCGAAGACCUUCAUUCCCCCACGCGGCGUCGCACCAUC